UGCCAGCAGUCGCGGUAAUACGAAGGUCCCAUGCGUUGUUCGGAAUCACUGGGCGUAAAGCGUGUGUAGGCGGCAUGGAAAGUCAGGUGUGAAAGCCCGGGGCUCAACCUCGGAACUGCAUCCGAUACUCCCAUGCUAGAGUAGUGGAGGGGCAUCUGGAAUUCACGGUGUAGCGGUGAAAUGCGUAGAUAUCGUGAGGAACACUAGUGGCGAAGGCGAGAUGCUGGACACUAACUGACGCUGAGACACGAAGGCCAGGGUAGCGAAAGGGAUUAGAAA
rnacentral:rRNA from 1 species